rnacentral:rRNA from 1 species
GAUGAACGCUGGCGGCGUGCUUAACACAUGCAAGUCGAACGGGGGUUACUUCGUGGCGAUCUUCGGAUCAAAGCGAUAUAACUCGAGUGGCGGACGGGUGAGUAACACGUGAGAAACCUGCCUCGGAGUGGGGAAUAACUCGAGGAAACUCGAGCUAAUACCGCAUACCUUCAUUUGACCGCAUGGUCAGUUGAAGAAAGAUUUAUCGCUCUGAGAGGGUCUCGCGGCCUAUCAGCUUGUUGGUGGGGUAACGGGCCUACCAAGGCAACGACGGGUAGCUGGAUUGAGAGAUCGACCAGCCACACUGGAACUGAGACACGGUCCAGACUCCUACGGGAGGCAGCAGUGGGGAAUCUUGCGCAAUGGGCGAAAGCCUGACGCAGCAACGCCGCGUGCGGGAUGAAGGCCUUCGUGGUUGUAA